rnacentral:lncRNA from 1 species
UAGCCCUAUUUAUAUAUUGGAAAAUGAUAUAUAUGUGGACAAAUCCGAUGACGAAGUUGGAUUGCAACUAACGUGGAACUCUAACCAAUAAGAUAGAAUAAUAAUGUGUAGAUCCCUUCUUCAUUCCUUCCUAUCUCAUGUAUCCACAUACGUCGACAUUUAAUAUCGACACAAGUUUAUCGUCCUAUGUAGCAGGACUCUUACAGAUUACUAUGCAUAACUAACAAGUCUCUAACUACUAAUUCCUCUGUUCCAAAAAUCUAUGUUCCAAAAUCUUGUUGAUACGAAAUAUUUUCAAAUUCAAAAUUGAUACAAAAGUAUUUAAUUUUAAUCGAUUACGCAAUUAAUGUUCAAAACUUAAAUGAAUCACAUCAUUUGUCUCAAACUGCCUUGAAAAAAUCAAAGUGACUCUUAUAUCUUGGAGCAGAGAGAGUAUGUACUUCUAUAUUUGACCCACAUAUUAUUGUCAUGGUUGAGCCCUUUCAAACAACUGUGGAAGUCUGAUCUAAUUGUGUGCAAGGAUCUCUCAAAGUAUUUGAUAAAACAAGAAGCCCACAAUAUAGGACGAAAAAUAAAGAACAAGGCAACACCAAUAUAUAUAUAUAUAUAUAUAUAUAUAUGACAUGGUUCCACUAAACUUGCCUACAUCCACUGAUCCACGGAAAAAUAAAUUCACUAGGCCAAGCCUCCUAAAUGACCGCCCAAUGACAAAGGAGGUAGGGGUGCAGAGACAACGAUGAGGUUCGCCUAGAAGUUUGAAGAGCUUAUGACACAAAUCAAUGACUGUGUCUUUGCGUUUGUCACCCAAAACCUAAUCUCAAAGCACCCAUGUAACUCUCUCUAAAGCCCCUUUGAAGAUCUCUAUCCUAUCUCUCACUCAAUAUCGACACAAGUUUAUCGUCCUAUGUAGCAGGACUCUUACAGAUUACUAUGCAUAACUAACAAGUCUCUAACUACUAAUUCCUCUGUUCCAAAAAUCUAUGUUCCAAAAUCUUGUUGAUACGAAAUAUUUUCAAAUUCAAAAUUGAUACAAAUGUAUUUAAUUUUAAUCAAUUACGCAAUUAAUGUUCAAAAUAUGAAUCACAUCAUUUGUCUCAAACUGCCUUGAAAAAAAUCAAAGUGACUCUUAUAUCUUGGAGCAGAGAGAGUAUGUACUUCUAUAUUUGGCCCACAUAUUAUUGUCAUGGUUGAGCCCUUUCAAACAACUGUGGAAGUCUGAUCUAAUUGUGUGCAAGGAUCUCUCAAAGUAUUUGAUAAAACAAGAAGCCCACAAUAUAGGACGAAAAAUAAAGAACAAGGCAACACCAAUAUAUAUAUAUAUAUAUAUAUAUAUAUAUAUAUAUAUAUAUAUGACAUGGUUCCACUAAACUUGCCUACAUCCACUGAUCCACGGAAAAAUAAAUUCACUAGGCCAAGCCUCCUAAAUGACCGCCCAAUGACAAAGGAGGUAGGGGUGCAGAGACAACGAUGAGGUUCGCCUAGAAGUUUGAAGAGCUUAUGACACAAAUCAAUGACUGUGUCUUUGCGUUUGUCACCCAAAACCUAAUCUCAAAGCACCCAUGUAACUCUCUCUAAAGCCCCUUUGAAGAUCUCUAUCCUAUCUCUCACUCAAUAAUGUUUUGCUUAUGGUCUCUGUAUCUUGCCUUGUUUUCAAUAGAAAUCCCAAGGAUCCCCUCCUCUUUAUAGAACCAUUGAGAGAUCCCAAAUCCAUAAUGAAAUAAGAAAACCAAAUCCUUACUGAUGGAUAGGAAACCAAAUCCUUCAUGAGAAAGGAUUCAGGUCACAUCACAGCAAUUAUUUAGCAUCAUGCAGGAAAAAAAGGAAGAAAAGAAUAAAAAUAAAUCAAUAUAUAUACACACACACACGUAUGCAUGGAGGGAAAAACAUGGAAGAAAUAAAUAAAAGCAAUAUAUUUAAUCAGAAGUUG